CUAGUAAUCGCGGAUCAGCAUGCCGCGGUGAAUACGUUCCCGGGCCUUGUACACACCGCCCGUCACACCACGAGAGUUUGUAACACCCGAAGUCGGUGGGGUAACCUUUAUGGAGCCAGCCGCCUAAGGUGGGACAGAUGAUUGGGGUGAAGUCGUAACAAGGUAGCCGUAUCGGAAGGUGCGGCUGGAUCACCUCCUUUCUAAGGA
rnacentral:rRNA from 1 species